rnacentral:lncRNA from 1 species
GUUUUCUGAGACUGCAUCCACUUUGAUAGUUUCUACUGAGUCCAAAUUAGAACAUCCCAGCUGGUGGGCUGUCUCCCAGGAAGCCCUCGGAGAGGAGCGGUGCAUAGGGGGCACCUGGACACAGCCCACCUCCCCCGAGUAGCGUCAGGUAGGCUUGUCUAUCUACAUCCUUUCGCCCUUUCUCAGGAAACUAUCAGAUGAUGUGCUCCCCCAGAUGAAGAAGUAGUGCCAGGAAAAAGGAGACACGGGAUACAGGGAUCCUGAAGCCGGCGGAGGACAAGGGAGCUCCUGGGAGGACAGCUGUGCUCCGGCCUAGCAAUAGCGAGCAGCUGGUCCAGACUGCCGCCGUGACUCAGAAGAUAGACAUGCGGAGGGUUAUGAUCACAGAGCAACGAUGGUCCUUGUACAUGAAGAUAAAAAUGCUCAGGUGUGCCCAGGUUGAAGAAGAUGAAAGGCCCUGCCUCCCAGAGCGCCCGGGGACACUGGUGAUCUCUUCCAGGUCUGUUUCCACCCACUGCAGCUGUGAUGGAAUCUUGCUCUGUUGCCCAGGCUAGAAUGCAGUGGCGUGAUCUUGGCUCACCAAAAAUUCUGCCUCCUGGGUUCAAGUGCCUCCACACCCAGCUAAUUUUGUAUUUUUAGUAGAGACGAGAUUUCACCAUGUUGGCCAGGCUAGUCUUGAACUCCUGACAUUGUGAUCCACCCACCUCAGCCUCCCAAAGUGCUAAGAUUACAGGUGUGAGCCACCAUGCCCGGCCUACCUGGAGCAUUAUUAAAACCUUAAACCUUUAAAAAAAAAAAAAAAAAA